GAUGAACGCUAGCGGCAGGCUUAAUACAUGCAAGUCGUGGGGCAGCAUGAGUAGCAAUACUUGAUGGCGACCGGCAAACGGGUGAGGAACACGUACACAACCUUCCUUCAAGCGGGGAAUAGCCCAGAGAAAUUUGGAUUAAAUACCCCAUAAUAUAUUUGAUAAGGCAUCUUAUUAAUAUUAAAGCUUCGGCACUUGAUGAUGGGUGUGCGGCUGAUUAGAUAGUUGGCGGGGUAACGGCCCACCAAGUCUACGAUCAGUAGCUGAUGUGAGAGCAUGAUCAGCCACACGGGCACUGAGACACGGGCCCGACUCCUACGGGAGGCAGCAGUAAGGAAUAUUGGAUAAUGGACGAAGUUAGUAUCCAGCCAUGCCGCGUGAAGGAUUAAGGU
rnacentral:rRNA from 1 species